rfam:Parcubacteria (Magasanikbacteria) bacterium GW2011_GWC2_37_14 TS42_C0006, whole genome shotgun sequence.
AUGAUAGAAUCUCUUUAUCCAUAGACAGUAGGGGCUUGAAAGAGCUUAAUAUCCUACCGAGGUACAAAAGGGCAAAUCCCAGGUCGAUUUGUACUCUAAGGUCUGUGGUCAAAAGCCACAGUUUUUAAUUGGAAAA